GAAAGCGGGGCAACCCGCAAGUAGAGUGGCGAACGGGUGAGUAAUACAUCGGAACAUUUCCAGUAGCGGGGGAUAACCUGUCGAAAGAUAGGCUAAUACCGCAUACGCCCCACGGGGGAAAGCGGAGGACCGCAAGGCUUCGCACUAUUGGAGUGGCCGAUGUCGGAUUAGCUAGUUGGCGGGGUAACGGCCCACCAAGGCGACGAUCCGUAGCUGGUCUGAGAGGACGAUCAGCCACACUGGAACUGAGACACGGUCCAGACUCCUACGGGAGGCAGCAGUGGGGAAUUUUGGACAAUGGGCGCAAGCCUGAUCCAGCCAUGCCGCGUGAGUGAAGAAGGCCUUCGGGUUGUAAAGCUCUUUCGGUGGGGACGAAAAGGUUCGUGCUAAUACCACGGACUAAUGACGGUACCCGAAGAAGAAGCACCGGCUAACUACGUGCCAGCAGCCGCGGUAAUACGUAGGGUGCAGGCGUUAAUCGGAAUUACUGGGCGUAAAGCGUGCGCAGGCGGUUUGUUAAGACAGAUGUGAAAUCCCCGGGCUUAACCUGGGAACUGCGUUUGUAACUGGCAAGCUAGAGUGUGGCAGAGGGGGGUGGAAUUCCAAGUGUAGCAGUGAAAUGCGUAGAUAUUUGGAGGAACACCGAUGGCGAAGGCAGCCCCCUGGGCUAACACUGACGCUCAUGCACGAAAGCGUGGGGAGCAAACAGGAUUAGAUACCCUGGUAGUC
rnacentral:rRNA from 1 species